CAUGGCUCAGGACGAACGCUGGCGGGCGUGCUAAUACAUGCAAGUCGAGCGGAUCUUUUGGAGCUUGCUCCAAAAGAUUAGCGGCGGACGGGUGAGUAACACGUGGGCAAUCUGCCCGUAAGACUGGGAUAACUCCGGGAAACCGGGGCUAAUACCGGAUAACUCCGGCUCUCUCCUGAGAGCCGGCUGAAAGAUGGUUUCGGCUAUCACUUACGGAUGAGCCCGCGGCGCAUUAGCUAGUUGGUGAGGUAACGGCUCACCAAGGCGACGAUGCGUAGCCGACCUGAGAGGGUGAUCGGCCACACUGGGACUGAGACACGGCCCAGACUCCUACGGGAGGCAGCAGUAGGGAAUCUUCCGCAAUGGACGAAAGUCUGACGGAGCAACGCCGCGUGAGUGAAGAAGGUUUUCGGAUCGUAAAACUCUGUUGUUAGGGAAGAACACGUACGAGAGUAACUGCUCGACCUUGACGGACCAACAGAAGC
rnacentral:rRNA from 2 species